UAUGCAACCUACCUAUGACAGGGAAAUAGUCAGAAGAAAUUUUGAGUAAUGUCCCAUACUAUUUAAUAUUAGCAUUAAUGUUAAAUCAAAACUUCGGUGGUCUUAGAUGGGCAUGCGUCUUAUUAGUUUGUUGGUAAGGUAAUGGCUUACCAAGACUACGAUAAGUAGGGGCCCUGAGAGGGGGACCCCCCACACUGGUACUGAGACACGGACCAGACUUCUACGGAAGGCAGCAGUAAGGAAUAUUGGACAAUGGGCGGAAGCCUGAUCCAGCCAUGCCGCGUGUGUGAAGAAGGCCUUUUGGUUGUAAAGCACUUUAAGCGAGGAGGAGGCUACCUAGAUUAAUACUCUGGGAUAGUGGACGUUACUCGCAGAAUAAGCACCGGCUAACUCUGUGCCAGCAGCCGCGGUAAUACAGAGGGUGCGAGCGUUAAUCGGAUUUACUGGGCGUAAAGCGUGCGUAGGCGGCUUUUUAAGUCGGAUGUGAAAUCCCCGAGCUUAACUUGGGAAUUGCAUUCGAUACUGGAAAGCUAGAGUAUGGGAGAGGAUGGUAGAAUUCCAGGUGUAGCGGUGAAAUGCGUAGAGAUCUGGAGGAAUACCGAUGGCGAAGGCAGCCAUCUGGCCUAAUACUGACGCUGAGGUACGAAAGCAUGGGGAGCAAACAGGAUUAGAUACCCUGGUAGUCCAUGCCGUAAACGAUGUCUACUAGCCGUUGGG
rnacentral:rRNA from 1 species